CGCGCUACCAUGCAGUCGAGCGGAGAGAGGUAGCUUGCUACUGAUCUUAGCGGCGGACGGGUGAGUAAUACUUAGGAAUCUGGCUAUUAGUGGGGGACAACAUUUCGAAAGGGAUGCUAAUACCGCAUACGUCCUACGGGAGAAAGCAGGGGAUCAGUAAUGACCUUGCGCUAAUAGAUGAGCCUAAGUCGGAUUAGCUAGUUGGUGGGGUAAAGGCCUACCAAGGCGACGAUCUGUAGCGGGUCUGAGAGGAUGAUCCGCCACACUGGGACUGAGACACGGCCCAGACUCCUACGGGAGGCAGCAGUGGGGAAUAUUGGACAAUGGGGGGAACCCUGAUCCAGCCAUGCCGCGUGUGUGAAGAAGGCCUUAUGGUUGUAAAGCACUUUAAGCGAGGAGGAGGGUACUGGUAUUAAUACUACCAGCUACUGGACGUUACUCGCAGAAUAAGCACCGGCUAACUCUGUGCCAGCAGCCGCGGUAAUACAGAGGGUGCGAGCGUUAAUCGGAUUUACUGGGCGUAAAGCGUGCGUAGGCGGCUAAUUGAGUCGGAUGUGAAAUCCCCGAGCUUAACUUGGGAAUUGCAUUCGAUACUGGUUAGCUAGAGUGUGGGAGAGGAUGGUAGAAUUCCAGGUGUAGCGGUGAAAUGCGUAGAGAUCUGGAGGAAUACCGAUGGCGAAGGCAGCCAUCUGGCCUAACACUGACGCUGAGGUACGAAA
rnacentral:rRNA from 1 species